rnacentral:lncRNA from 1 species
GUUGAGAAUAAAAAAAGUUAGUCAAAAGAUAAAGUUAGUCAAAAGAUAAUCAAGGAUCCCUUAAUUAUAGGGAUCCUCAUGAUGUUGUAGGAAUAUUCAUGAUGUUGUAGGGAUCCUUAUGAUGUUGUAGGAAUCCUCAUGAUGUUGUAGGGAUCCUCAUGAUGUUGUAGAAUAUCAGCUCCCUUUCUAAACACUAUAAAAGGGGAUGAUUGUAUCAGCAGGAAAAAUCAAGAAAAAAGAAAUACAAGAACAAUAUUCAAGAAACAAAUUCUCUCUUCUAUGAUGAUAACAUGUUUUUAACAUGGUAUCAGAGCGGGUUAAAUCCUUGAAACUCAGAAAAUUAUCAUCAUAGUUUCCAAAUCCCUUACUUAAACCUUUUUUUUUUUUUUUCCGAUCAAACCUGUUCUUAU